AACGAACGCUGGCGGCAUGCCUAACACAUGCAAGUCGAACGAGACCUUCGGGUCUAGUGGCGCACGUGUGCGUAACGCGUGGGAACCUGCCCUUAGGUUCGGAAUAACUCCCCGAAAGGGGUGCUAAUACCGGAUAAUGUCUUCGGACCAAAGAUUUAUCGCCUUUGGGUGUGCCCGCGUUGGAUUAGCUAGUUGGUAGGGUAAAAGCCUACCAAGGCGACGAUCCAUAGCUGGUCUGAGAGGAUGAUCAGCCACACUGGGACUGAGACACGGCCCAGACUCCUACGGGAGGCAGCAGUGGGGAAUAUUGGAAAAUGGGCGAAAGCCUGAUCCAGCAAUGCCGCGUGAGUGAUGAAGGCCUUAGGGUUGUAAAGCUCUUUUACCCGGGAUGAUAAUGACAGUACCGGGAGAAUAAGCUCCGGCUAACUCCGUG
rnacentral:rRNA from 1 species